UUUCUUUCUUUCUCUCUCUCUCUCUCUUUCUUUCUCUUUCCUUCCUUCCUUCCCUCCCUCCCUCCUUCCUUUCCUUUCCUUUUCCUUCCUUCCUUCCUUCCUUCCUUCCUUCCUUUCUUUCUUUCUUUCUUUCUUUCUUUCUUUCUUUCUUUCUUUCUUUCUUUCUUUCUUUCUUUUUCUUUCUUUCUUCCUUCCUUCCUUCCUUCCUUUCUCUCUCUCUUUCGUUCGUUCGUUCCUUCCUUCUUUCUUUCCUUUUUCUUUCUUUCUUUCCUCUUUCUUUCUUUCUUUCGUUCUUUCUCUCCUUGUUAUUUAUUUUUUUUUGUGGCUUUUUAAGGACACACCUAUGGCAUAUGGAAGUUCUCAGGCUAGAGGUCUAAUCAGAGCGGAAGCUGCCAGCCUAUACCACAGUCAUAGCAACACAGGAUCUGAGCCAUGUCUGUGACCUACACCACAGCUCACCACAAUGCAGGAUCCCUUAAGCCACUGAGUGAGGCCAGGGAUUGAACUCAUGAAUAUUAGUUGGGUUUGUUACCACUAAGUCACAAUGGGAACUCCUACUUUGCCUUCUUUAUUCCAGCCUUAACACUGGUUUCCCUCAUAAUCAAAAAAUGAUGGCCUAUUUGCAAAUAUCCAACAGCAGAAAAGUGAUGGCAUCUCCCCUUAUGUCUAUUCUUAUCAGUCUCCCUGGAAAACCUUUCUCUUAAGCUCACUAUCAGACUUCCCUUCUCUUAUUAGUCAGAACUGUAACCACCUGUCCUUCCCAAACCAUUGUCCUUCACUGGGAUGGAAAAUGAUUGGCUUAGGCCAAUGAGGAUUUAUCUCUUUGGUGCAUGAGCUGAGAAGAGUAUUUCCUGAGGGACAUGGCCUUAGAGAGAUGGGUGGACACCAUGGCAAUAUUGGCAUUUUAUUAGGAAGGAUAAAGGAGUAAGUAGCUCUAGGGCAGGCAGCCAAUAAGGUGUCCUAGAUGUUCAUAUGAGCCUCCUGGUGGAGAAUGACUGGAGGAAAUGGAGGAGGAAAAAGGGGGAGGAAAAGACAACAAGGACCUAGGGGAGCAUGAGGAUGUAAUUCUCUCCCCUUGAGUAGGGCCAAGACCUAUGACUGUGAUGGGAUAGUAACUUUCUUGGUUAUAUUACAUUAUAUGAGAAAAACUCCAACCCUGAAGGCUGGAGUGAGAUUGGCUUUGAAGAAGUAAGCUUCCUUGUGGGGGGAAGUGUAUGGCUGUGGCAAGAAUAGAGGGGACUUCUAGUUACCAAGAGCAUCCCUGGUUUGCAGCUACCAAGAAGAUGGGGACCUCUGCCAUACAGCUGUAAAGAACUGAAUUCUCCCCACAAUCAGUGAGCUUGGAAGAGGACCCUAAGCUUCAGAUGAGAUUACAGUGCUGGCUGACACGUUCAUUUCAUCCUAGUCAGAUGCUAAGCAAAGGAGCCCACUAACCUGUAUCUAGAUUCCUGAUCCACAGAAGCUGUGAGACUAAAUAAAUAGGUGUUAUUUUAAGGGGAUAAAUUUGUGGUAUUUUGUUAUGCAGCAACAGAAACUCACACACCCACUUUGGACUGUCAUGUGAGGGAGAAAUAAACUUAUUCUUUGUGUUAAGCCAUUGAACCGUGAUGGUUCAUAGCAGCAUGUUACCAUAACUAAAUACAAUGACAUAACAAGAUUGCUCAUAUAAAGGCAGUAAAAGCUCCCCCCAAGCCAGAAACGUUCAGAGGCUGUCUUCUCUGGAAAUCUUGUCAUGGAGGUAGUCUCCUGGGGCUGUACAUGCUCAUGAAAAUGGAAUUCUGAACAGCUAUGGCAUAUUAGUUGUCACUCCCAAAUUAUAGCACUUUUCCUUUAUGGGAUCUGGCUUGCUCCAAUUAAUUAGAAUCUGCACCAGGAAUUAAAGCAUGAUAACUGUGAGAACCAUCAAGACUGUCUGUCACAUUUAUGCCUCAGGAAAGGCCUUGUAUUUCUGGCGGGGACUGAGGUGGUAUUGUUUCUGUUUUCCAAUAAAACAAGCAAUAGUCUAUCCAAAGAGGGAAAUAGAUUCCAGCCUUUUUCAGCCAUAACAUGUCAUAGAAAUCCCAUUGUAUUGAUUAGAAAUUUAGGCUUGGAGAGGCUAAACAAUGUACCUAAGAUCAUAGAUUUUGAAGAGCAGAGCCAAAAAUCAAACUCAAGUCCAUGUGAUUCACUCAUCUAUACAUGAUUUCAUAUGUCAUUCAUCCAAAAUUCCAUUUUUAGGCACCAGUGAAUUUCCAUGAAUUUACUCAAUAUAUUUUACUUAAAAAUUCCCAUCAUUUAUCUUUUGAUCUAUCAUUUUAAUACUUUUUACAUAUAUGAAUUAUCUUACACAUUUUGUCCUGGGAUUUGCUUCUUUCAUCUCAGAUUAUAGACAGAAAUAACUAAUUUUAUUAUUUUUUCCAUGCUAUGGAUAUAGUAUAUUAUACUUAAUUGUUAUCAUAUUGAUGGAAAUUUGAGGCUUCCCCAACUUUUGCUACUGCAAGCACUACACCAAUGAAUGUUAUCAUACACGUCUGUAUUCACAGGUACAUUUAAUAAGAGGAAUACAAUAAAAACAUAUUGGUGGGUAAUACUAUCGGCUGGGUUCCGGUAAGUGCUUUACAUGUGUUGCUUAUUUGUUACAAUUACACUGUGAAGUAAGUUUCAUUAUAUUCUAUAAUACAAAUGCAAAGGCUGUGGCUUAGAGACCUGCUACCAAAUUCCCCAAGAAGGAUGGUGGAAUGGACUUGCUAGUUUUCAUUUUUUUAAAAAAUGCUCCUGUUAUAUGAUUGGAAUUAGCCUGAGUUUAUGAGUGGAUUGACAUCUUUACAAUAUUGAGUCCUCUCAUCUAAAAAAUGUCAUGUCUUUCCACUACUUUAGAUCUCCUUAUCUGUCUUUUCAUAAUGCUGGCAUGUUUCUUCACAAUGCAUGUACAUAUUUCUUCCUGAUAUUCUUCAGCUUGCUUGCCAUAGUUUUUGCUGGUGUAAAGAAAAAUUAGCGACCUUAUAAACCUAUACAUAGAACUACCAUAUGACCCAGUAAUCCCACUCUUGGGCAUAUAUCCAGACAAAACUUUCCUUGAAAUAGACACAUGCACCCGUUUGUUCACUGCAGCACUAUUCACAAUAGCCAAGACAUGGAAACAACCCAAAUGUCCAUCCAAAGAUGACUGGAUUA
rnacentral:lncRNA from 9 species